AAAAAAAAACUCUGAAAUUGUUAAGGAUGUUAUGGAAAUCCAAUAACUCCUCGAUUGUCCCUCUGAUCUCAAAUCAAAAUGAAGAUUUGGAGCAAUUUGGUUGGAAACAAUUUGCCACUACUCCUAGGUCCUAAUAGUCAAUAAACAUUUUCCAAAUAAACAUUUUCUAAAUAGCUAAUAUAGAAAGAUUACAAUUCAAGGGAAGAAAGGAAGAAUUUGCAUAGGAGGUGGGAGGAAAACUUUUCCUUCAUAAGAAUGAGAUUGCCAAAAGAAAGAAUUUUGCCCUACGCAAAUUUUAAGUCACCAUUAUCAACUAAUUAGUAAGAACAAAUCCCUAUGUCCCACAGCCAUAAUUCAAAUCAAUCCCUGUGUUAGAGACAAAUUUUCUUUCCUCAGCACUCACUCCCGUUCCCCAGUACAGGAAGCUUUGGGAAUCUCAAAAAGUUUGUCUCCUUGGUCACAUCCAUUGACCCUGUCUUUCUGAGUCAUCGGGAACAGGGUCUAGGCGAAGUUGUAAGUUUAUAGAUGUCGGGAGUGUGGGGCCAGGAAGAUUGAGAAUGAAGGCCAUAGAACCUUAUGCCUCCUUUCUUCCUCCACGCAUUUUUCUAGAAAUAUUAGGUUGAUGGUAAAGGAUUAAAUUAUUUAUUCAUGUUCAUGUUUUAGGAAAGUUUUCCGAAUAAUGUACAUGUGGCAUAUAAUAAAACAAGAGAUCAACAAGAAAUCUAAAAAUAGUAUCUCUUUUACUGCCUUGCUCACUGUUCCUAAGGAGAAUGCAAGCUUACAUUCUUAGAACUCACAGUUAUCUUAGCCUGAAAAUUGGAAUGCAUGAGGGAAAAGCUGCCAUUCACUAACUACAUAACAAAGAAAAUUCUGCAUAUCAUGCCAAGACAUUAUACAGUAGGUGGUGUUAACAUAGGAAGCCUUUAUCAUGAGAAGCCAUAACUCCUACGGUGCAUAAGAGUAAGACACUCCCUUUCAACUUUUCCUCUCCAUGGCAGAAGUAUGGAAGAACCUCAAAAGUUUCAUGAGCUCUGGAGAAGACAGCUAUAACUCCAAAAGUGAGAGAAAGUAGAAGACAUGCCAGUGCUCAAAAGCUACAAAUGUAACCAGAGCCGUGGCAUAAAAUGAAAUACUUCUGGUUCAUAUACUUCCACUGAGCAGCAUUGCAUUUUAUACACUUCUUCUUUAAUGGUUCAGACAUAUAGUUCUUAACAUCACAUGGAGACUCAUAACCUUCAGAAUACAGCAUGAAUCAGCUGGCUGCACUGCAAAGAGAAUACAAAAUACCAUCAAGAAUGUCCUAACUGGAACAGUAAACUUUUAAAGUACAAACAACUCAUCUGUUAGCAGCCUGGCAUUUUGCUUUCUGGAAAGUAAAUACAUUAGAGAGAUAUCUUUAAAGAGAGUCUAUUACCUGUGUAAGUCAGCAAUUUUCAAUCAUGACUGUAGCAGAUCCAGGUGAGAGACACUGCGACCUGGCCUUAUAGCAGGACCAAUAAGCAUAAGCAAUCCCUUGGUCCUAAGAUGAAGACUUACUAAUCAUUAGUUCUUGAAUCUAUAACUUCCUUAGGUUAGGUCAGAUUUGUCCUCGCUUACUCAGCUUAUGGGGCGUGGAUUCUUAUAUAGCCAGUCUAUAGAGAGAGUAUCAAUAAAGUCAUAAAUCUGGGGGAAAAAAAAGUCCUCAUUAUCGCACCUGUCUGGUUUUUCAAAAUCUUGCCUAAGGUGGUCUGGUUUGCUGAAGGGUGCUCCAGGAAGUGCAGUCUCCAGGUGUAACAGCCUCCCAAAGAAACAGUCUCUGUUUUGGCUGGAGGAAAUUGUUGAUUUUCCUCUGAAGCCUGGAAUCAGCAGUUCUCUGCUGCUAAAACUCCUGCAGGGUUUUAGGGGCAAGUAGCUACUUUAGAAUUGAGCAGAUGGGGUAAAGGAGAUAAGGAAAUGUAGUUUAGAGAGACUUCCCACGAGAAGGCAUCCUUUUCAUUCCUUAAACUUCCCACCACCACCUCACACACAAGUGAAAAACGGGUGCAGAAGAAUAUACGGGGGAAAAACGGUAAGCUUGGGCAAAGUUCCCUGCAGAGGGAGAAGAAAAAAUAGGAUGAGACUUAAGAAUUUUAUAGUCCUAAACACUGGAAAAAUUAUGGCGAAUUCUUCCCUGCCCCCAAUAAUUAUCAUGUGAAUCAUUUUGAUCUUUAUUUGUUAACAGUAAUAUAUAAAACAUAAUACUUUUUCCAAACAAUUUUGGAUACCAUCAUUUUAUGGUUGUACUAAGGACAGCUAGUCCCCUACAGGAGUCAGAGACUUUAGGAAGUAUUUAAGACCUAAUUCUAUGGUUAUCUUCUCAAAAUAUAGGAUUCCUGGGAGCUAUGACAGGUAAUCUAGCAAAGUGAACUUAUCAGUUAAACUUAAUAGUUAAUUGGCCAGGCACAGUGGCUCACGCCUGUAAUCCUAGCACUUUUGGAGGCCGAGGCAGGAAGAUUACUUGAAGU
rnacentral:lncRNA from 1 species